rnacentral:lncRNA from 1 species
GUUGCCAAGAGCUGGGGCAGGAAAUGUUUGCAUCUGGGCCUCGUCUAGAGAAUGACACAGAUGCAAAUCACAUAAAGAUAGAAAGUGCAUGAUGAUAUAAGAAUCAGCUGUCCUAGAGGGGAGAGCUCAGUCUUGGCCUUAAAAGAAGGGCUAACUCUGGCUGGGCACGGUGGUUCACACCUGUAAUCCCAGCACUUUGGGAGGCCGAGGCGGGCAGAUCACAAAGUCAAGAGUUCGAGACCAGUCUGGCCAAUAUGAGACAGAAGACAAUCCUGCUGAAAGAAUGGACUUUUAGCUACCAGCAAACAACAGCACACAUACAACAUAUACCUGAAGAAAGCAACUUGGAUAAAGGAAGCAC